rnacentral:lncRNA from 1 species
GCACAUCAAUCGGGUAAAUUCUGAAAAGGCCGGCUCUACCUGGAGGUAGGAAGGGCCAACCAGUAGGAACUUCCUGGAAACGAUGGGUGGCUUGAGUUAUGUUCCUAAGUGGCCAUGAGCUCAGAAGGUCUCACUCGGGACACUCUGGAAUCAGGACUGAGUGCGAGACCAGAGCAGGAUACAGAAUGGAAUGUGCCUGUCCUGACUGAUGCCAUGGGGUAGGGACCACCAGGCUCCUCUGUCCAUGGAAUUCUCCAGGUAAGGAUACUGGAGUUGCCAUUUCCUUCUCCAGGGGAUCUUCCUGAUCCAGGGAUCGAACCCAGGUCUCCUGCAUUGCAGGCAUAUUCUUUACCCUGUCUGAGCCCCUAGGGGAGCCCAUUGUCCUUAACUCGAUCUAUCAAAGAUGCUCACCAAAGACACAGCAUGUGUGAUUUCU